rfam:Triticum aestivum genome assembly, contig: Triticum_aestivum_CS42_TGACv1_scaffold_223780_3B
AUUACACUCCCUCCGUUCGGAAUUACUCGUCCAAGAAAUGAAUGUAUCUAGAUGUAUUUUAGUUGUAGAUACAUCCAUUUUUAUCCAUUUUUGUGACAAGAAUUCCGAACGGAGGGAGUAGAUC